rnacentral:rRNA from 1 species
GCACAAGCGGUGGAGCAUGUGGUUCAAUUCGAAGCAACGCGCAGAACCUUACCAGCCCUUGACAUCCCGGUCGCGGAGAGCAGAGACGCACUCCUUCAGUUCGGCUGGACCGGAGACAGGUGCUGCAUGGCUGUCGUCAGCUCGUGUCGUGAGAUGUUGGGUUAAGUCCCGCAACGAGCGCAACCCCCGUCCUUAGUUGCUACCAUUUAGUUGAGCACUCUAAGGAGACUGCCGGUGAUAAGCCGCGAGGAAGGUGGGGAUGACGUCAAGUCCUCAUGGCCCUUACGGGCUGGGCUACACACGUGCUACAAUGGCGGUGACAAUGGGAUGCUAAGGGGUGACCCUUCGCAAAUCUCAAAAAGCCGUCUCAGUUCGGAUUGGGCUCUGCAACUCGAGCCCAUGAAGUUGGAAUCGCUAGUAAUCGUGGAUCAGCACGCCACGGUGAAUACGUUCCCGGGC